UCGUAUACGUAAUUCCUGCUAUAAUUAUUUAACGUUAUUUUCUUAACUAUAUCCACUUUAUGGUAAAUUAUUUACUUUAUCUGGCUCGCUUAUUGAGUUACUUGUUUUGUUCGAAUAACGGCUGUUUUGAAAAGUUUACAUGAGGGCGCUGUAACUUUGAAUCGAGAGCUUCUGGGUAAUUUGGCAGUUGAAUUGUUGCGUCUCUUGGAAGCGUCGUGUUUGGUAUAUUAAUUUAUGGAAAUUUCAUUUGUUUGUGAUUAUUGAAGUGCUAGAUUAUUUGAUACAUCCACAAAUGCUGUACUACUCUGAUUGUAUUAAGAUGAUACCGUGGACAAGGUUCCUCGCGAAUCGAGACACCAGACCACUUGAAGCGAUGCUGUUCCUCCAGCAUCCAUGUCCCACUUGAAAAACUAGCCGAGCAAAAGGCAAAUGGCGAAGAGUAGAAGAAUCUGGGAAGCUGAAACAAAAGAAGAAAAAAUCCAUACUCGUAUAUAACGUGUGUGGCUGCGUGCAUGUGCGCUAUCUAACGAAAUCUACGCUUCAAAUCUACUGCUCGCAGAGGGGUGCUCUCUGCCAUUAAAUAUCAUCCCUAGGCAAGUUCAUAAUGGCGCAAACCGAUAUGGGAUCAUCAACAGUCAUCCCUAUUGCCUUACUGGAAGUAUGACUAGGCAUCAGACGUCCUCCAAUCACGAAAUUCUUCAAAGAUGUCGCAGUGCGUUUUAACGCGUGGAAAAUACGACGUGGAUAUCGCAGACGCCUUUUAAAAUUUGCUGGCUCGUUCCUAUCAACUUGAUGACGCGUCAUCGAGAUACUUUGGCGAAAAAAGUGAUUUCUUGGCAAGAUAAAGAUUCCGUUUGCUAUGGAGUGAAGCUUCGUUUGUGGGAUUUUUGAAGUUUUUGACAAACAAAAUUAUACAUCAGAUACAAGACUUGACAAGUCAUUCAAUAUCCCUGGAGCAUUGAGAUAGAACCAGUAACUGUCCCAUUGGAUGGGAUUUAAUUCAGGGAUGCUGGAAGAUCGUAUCCUGAAACAUCCAGUUCAUCGAGUUCAUCUAUAAGAAGUCACCAUGAGCUACAGAAUCCGGCACUGUGAAAUUUAAACUCUCUCUCUCUCUCUCGUUCGAUUCUCCAUUCAAUGGAAAUUGGAGAAUAAGACUUAAUCGGUCAUUCAAUCCUGGAAGCUGCAUCCAGAAAAUCUGAAGGAUUCUUCUCUACAAGGUAUUCCACGUAUGACUGUCCCGGGGUAAGUCAUAAAUUCCUUUCAUGGCCCUCGAGUGGCAGUUCCAUAAGUAAUCCAAUCUUGGGUAUUCCGUACAUAACUCCCGUCACAUGCAUACAUGUACGUGCAGUUGCGCUGAAACGUCCUGUACCUUUUCCCAACCGGCAAUCACGUCGCACCUGAAUCGGUCUGUAUCCCGGAUUCUAGUACCACUUCGGAGCCUUCCAUUUUAUUAAUAUAUUACUCUGCAAAAAUUCAUGUUUUCCAGUCGAUAUUCAGAGAAUAUGCCUGGACUCCUGAGGUUGUAAAUUUUCAACGCUGUAUCAACUAUAUAUCUAGUUAGAACUGCCCACGUACGCGUUCCAUUGUUACUUUGCGUGAGCUACAGCCAUUAUACAGAUUUUGAGAAUAAUAGAUGUAUAUCGAUCAAUCAGAAGAGAUCAAUAUAUAUGUAGAGGAUUUAUGGGAAUUAUUGAAUAUCCAAUUUCAUAUUAUAAUACUCAAUUAUUUUUUAUCCGUAUUGUUCACUGGUCUUCCUAGUCGUUCAAUUCUCUUUUCCUAUAGUCUUGAAAACAGAUGGUAAUGGAUAAAUCUUGUAUAGAUAAUUGACAGCUGUCUUGCUCAUCAUUUUCAUAAUCUGUUGUACAGUCAAACGUUUCUGAUCUCGAAGAAAUUAUUCUAACCAAAAUUCUCGUAGUGUCACGUCAGAACGGCCUGACACGUUAGUCACGUAACGUAGAGGGUGAUUUAAUUGAUUUAUGUUCGAUCAAAUUUAUUUGAACCUUCUGUCACUGGGGGAACCGAAGCAUGACGUUUUGACAUCAAUUAUUCGAUAUACCUCAAUCCCGACAAGAUUCAAUAUACAUAUAGAUAAAAACGUUGAAAAUACAUAAAAGGCUUUAAAGCACGGAAUAUUUGUGAACUUAAAAGAGAUGGCCGUGAAAUGAAUGAAUAAAAAAUCCACCAAAGGGUAAGAUCAAAGGAGAAGACCCAUAAGGAGAAUGCCCAUCAAAAUUACAAGGUGGCGAAUUCAAUAAGUUCCAGUUUGAAAAAUCAAUGCAAUACCGGAAGCGGAAGUUGUGCCUUGCUUAUCUCCGCUUUAUGAUCACUCCGAAGCGCGUCUCUAGGGAUUCUAAUUAUCCUCGUUACUAAAAUGUCCUCAAAGGUAUAAAUUGUAACGUGCUUCCUGUUUUAACCCACGUCAACCCUCUUCGACUUCGUCCCACUUUUGUUUAAUCUAUUCAGUAGCCACCAGGGCUUCGGUCUGAUUUCCUGAUGCUGUACGGUAGGUAAUUAUACGUGGAAAAGGCCCGGUUAGGUUUGAUCGAGACUUCACAUUUUAGGUACCCAAGUACAAUGUCACUCGUACUUGGGAAUAUUUUAAUAGACAUGAGAAUUUUUAUUUUUCACUUUCUUUAGACACUCUCAUAGGCUGCUGCACUAUUUCUUUGGGUCCCUUAAUGAAAAUAAUAAGCGUCUACUGCUUAGUGAAUUUUCAAUGCUACCAAACAGUGUCACCGCUACAGGAAAUUGCGAAGAAUGGAUGCGACGCUGAAACCUUGGGUAAACUUACGGGAUGCAGUUUACAAUUAGUGCAAGAGUGACUGGUGCGAUUUCGUAUUCGUUGCACUUUGGUGCCUUUCUGAGAUCUUUCUCAACGUGGUGCAAUAAGUUUCUGGUUUUACGAGUGGGGUCUCUGUGUAAGGCCACAAGAACUCAUAAAAAUGUGCCCGACCCUGUAAACCUACUAAGUUACCGCUGCAUUUGCCAGAUGCAUUUUCACUGUCUUAAGCACGUUUCGCUACUUUGUUUAUUUAUAUUUUCCUCAUUUUCAAUUAAGACACAGUGUUUAUGGCGAGAAGAUUUUUUAAUGCGUUGUAAUAGAUAUUACUUGAGAUUAAUAUCCUGGACGACGUUAUAAUUUAUUAUUUUUAAUUUACUUCUGUAUUUCUGGUAUAGAAAGAAAUAUACUGACUGACACAUCGAUCAUGAAAAUCAUUAGUUAGGUUAAUGUGGUAUUAUUAGGUUGAACUUUUUUUUUCGUUUCAAACUUUAUUUCUGCUCUCACGCGAAUCCAAAGCGAAGCAGCUGAUUUCGUUAAAAUUGAAAUCGUCAUAUAUUUUCAUAUCGAAAUUAUUCGUCUGCCAGCGAAUAUAAUGGAAAUCAUUCAACCUGCUGGAAAGCGAGUAAAAGUUUAAUGCUCGAUAAAUUGCGUAUAUUGUAUCAUAAAUCCAUGAUAUAUGUGCCCUUUGAGAAGUCUGAUUUAUGAUAUGCUAUCCUAGCGCGAAAUAAAUACGUUUUUGGCUAUUCGAUCAGCGUGAAAGAGUUGUAAUUUUUAUAACCGUAGGUAACUGUAAAAUUGUAUCGUUUUAAGGCUUAUGAAUACAUAAGCAACGUUGACGCAAUACAAUAAAUGACUUAUAAAUGUUACUACUGUAGUACCAUAAAAAAAAAAAAAUAAUAUAACCCAGGGAACUAUAAAACAUUAUAGUAAAUUGAAAAUGGCAUGAUUCAUCAGCUAAAAAUUUUUCGCAAACUCUUUACACGGAAACGCUCGGGCUUAACGAGUAUUCAUUUGUUUCAAAGUUCAACGUGAUACUGACAUUUAAAAAUGUUCCAAUGGCAGUAUAGUCACAAAGUUCGUUAUACCAGUAUCAUGAGAAAUGACCGUGCAGAGUAAAAAUGUUAAAGCAUCAAACACGAAAUAUCUUUAGAUACGUUUCAAAAGUAUCGAUAGUUUUAAGGCCCAAUGUUAUUUCCCUCACUCGAAAUUUUACGAAGUGUUUUACGGCACUGGAAUCGCGUAUUCAAUUUUUACGAGAACACUGAGUCUCGGCGAGUAGCUAAUGUCCUUCGAAAAUACUUGCUACAGAUAUCAAUGUACUUUUUUUUUUUCUCAUGCGUCGUAACGCGUCACCAGCAGUAAAAAUAAUGUCACGUGUUUACGAGGAAUUUGAUUUAAGAACAGAUUAUAUUAGGUACGAGAUAAAUUUUUACAUUUUAAGAUUCCAUUUAUGAUCAGGCAUUUCAUUCAUUUUCUUAUUUACGUAAUAUUUUUACACUGUGUUUAAAUGUAGAUACGAUAUCAAUUGAUUGCCAGCAUUUCUACAACGCUUAUUUGGUCCUUGGGUAAGUGGUACGAUAUUAAAAUUUUAUUUUUUUUUUUUAUUGAAAAGUAAAAUAUUUUUUCUCUCAUUUAUUCGUGACUAUCGACCGCGAACUUAUCUUGAAUUUUAUUGGUAUUUUAGGAAAAUUUUAAUCCUAUUUAAAUCUCGAUUUAUAUUAGCAAAGCGGGGAUGUUAUUUCAGGCGGAAGACUUGCCCUUGUUUACCCCAGUGUACUUCUACUUACUGUCUCUCGCACAAAGGAACUGGAGUUCAGGCAAACGAGUUUAUCAAAUUUUACCCGCAAAAGGGAAAAUAAUUAACGCUGCUUCUUCAGCUUUCCGAGUCGUGCAAUUCUAUGUCUUGACAUUAAACUUUCUUCACUUUCGUUAUUAACGCUCUGAACGCGCGUACCGAGCAUUCCCCAGAUCUGUAGGUAUUUUUGUGCGCGACCACAUCGUUCUUGGAUUAUGGUCCAGAAAUGGAUGCUGCGUCCCAUUAAAGUAAAUUUAAUUGGGUGCAUAAUGUUUAUUCGAAAAUUAAUAUACAUAUUUUACUCAUGAACAAUUAAUGCUGAAAAAAUCAUAUUAAUUGUUCAACGGUGGAUAAAUAUUUGUAUAAAAUAUUCCAAAUUUAUGUUAAACCCAAAAAUGUUUAUUGGAUUGGAAUUAUUUUUGCUUCCCAUUUUGUUCCAGUAUACGAUUUAUACUGAGAGUUGGGUCAUUCGUGUGUGAAGUGUAGAAAUGUUUGUAUAAACAGAUGAAUAAAGAAGAGUAAGAAGAAGAAAAAGUGGAAGGAAAAAAAAUGCGAAAACCGAUAAAGCACACUUCGUUUGGCCAACGCAUAAAACUCCUUUAUGAUGUUGCAAAGAAUCGUAAGAGUUUUAGAUCUUGGUUACCCAAGACGAUGUAGUUACGAACAGGAAGAAAACCGACGUAAAGGAAAUAUUAUCAAGACAGAUGAUAGAUUUUGGAUGACAUAAAAAAAGGAGAGAGAAAACGUCGAUAUUGAAAUCAUUAAGCGCCUCGUUAAAACACGUAUCGCGUAUUUGAUUGCCAAUAAAAAUGUUUCGUGCGAUAAGGAACUAUUUGGCAUUGUAAAAUCUAUUGUGCGUGGGCAAACAAGAUUUCAAUUUUCGGACAGCACAUUUCUGUCUAUCCUUUGUUUUUCCUGUAUCAAUCGAACUCUCCGUCCAAUAUCGUACAUUGCAUCGAUCCAAUGGACAAAUAAAGUCGAACCGUUUCUAUUUAUUCUUGCUGCACUCGGUAGAAAACAUCAAAAGGCUCGGUCGAGAUUUUUUUUAAAAUUUACACUCUACACUAUUGAGUGAAAUAUUUUCAAAAAUUCGUAGAAUUGUUAAAAUACGUUCUAUGUCGAGUCCUGAUAUAUAUUUAUCCUUUGCAAGGGUAUCUUGAACCUCUCAAUGUUAUACCCAGUGUUUGAAAAAUAUUUAAAAGUUUUAAUACUUAAUUUUGCCCUGUUUUCAGAUAUAUCCCCCACAGUUUUAGUGCUCAUCGAGAACUUAUGAAGCGCGAACGACCGUUCGGAGUCGUUAAAGAGGAUAUUUGGGCUGCUUCGAAACUUGGAGCUUUCUCAUAACGCCUUGGGUGCUUUCGAAGGAUGGAGUGAUUGUAUGAAGAAGUCAACGGGCGUAUACUUCUCACGGUACGCGUGGCGAUUUCGUAAAAUUGAUAAAGUUUCGCGAGAACUUUUAUAAUACCCGACCGGUUGAAGAAUUUUCAACUAUAUACACGAGGAGCUGGCAAUUUAUGUUCCACACUGCAGUUCCUGCGAUACUGCGCCACGGCUACUCCCGUAUCUCUAUAGCCACCAUAGAUAGAAGAGGAAUACGUGCUGUAGGAGUACCUUGUUACAUGAUGUAAUAUUUUACCUAGUUACAUGCGUAUAUAGGAUACACACAUUGGUAUAUAAUGUAUGUUCACAGUACAUCUACGGCUCGUAAAAUGUUGCCUGAUACAGAAAGGAUACACAGGAUAUUCAAUAGGUACUAGGAUGUUAUUUUUGCUUGUUGUAUCUUAGAUACUUGGGGAAAAAAGGUUGUGCUUUUUCAAUCCAUUAUAAAAAAAUUUGACUUUUUAUCAGCUCGUCAGUUGGAUCUCGUGCGAUACAAUGAUCCUCAUGGAAAUAAGUUUCUGUGGAUUUUUUGUUUCUUGGAAAAUCUGUCAGCUGCAAAGCUGUCGGUUCCAGUCGUUAGAAUUGAUACUGGAGACAGACAGUCUGAUGUGAAUACUUUCUUAUUAAUGAAUUUCUGAAUUAAUAUUUAUCUUUUUGAAGAUGGACGCAACUUUUUAUACUGUAAAGUUUUCGAGUAUUCUUAUGCUUGGUGAAUGUGUGUAGAGUAAAUUCUUCUAAGCUACGUAGUUGCACACGCGGAAUAUUGGGUCGGAUGCUGGAAGGAAAUUCAAGCAAUAUGAUAAACGGCACUGGCUAAGAUGUAUGACCAUUGCGAAUAGAAUACUUAACGGGAAAUUGAAAUUUGGACACUGGAUUCGUACUGUGAAACCGGCAUUUUUGGUAUGUCGUAAUUUACCUUGCGAUUUGAUCUCCAUGAGAAUCGUUGCGUAUGGAUAACUUAAUUUCGUGCAGCAUCAUGUAUCAUUUAUCUUGGACAAUACAGAUAGAUACGUAAUGCAUCAAAUGAUUUGUGGUUUAACAAUGCGUUCAAAUAAUGUUUCAUACGGUCGGUCAUUUCUGAUAGGGAUACAAGCAGCUUUCAUUCCUGCAUGAAAUUGCAUUAGUUGUAGCCAGAGUGGUAUCUUUUUAUUUUUAAGAUCUAUAAUGGAUUUAAUCACUGAAGUGGAAGGAACGUAAAUGACUUUUUCAUCAGCUAAUCUCCGGUAAUCCGUAACAUUGAACGCAAUGGUAAUUUGAGUAAAUAGGAAAUUAUUUAUAGAAAAAGAAAUUGUAGCAGUCGUGGAAAUUUAUCUUGAAUUCAAAGUUUUCAUUUUCUUCAGAUUAUUAAGUAUUUAUUGGUUUCCAGUUUAUGGGUGAAUCCAUCGUGUUUCUUACAGCGUACAGAAAGCGCAGGGAUUCCGAUAUCUCGUAAAAUUGUAAAAGAAUUCACGAAUAAGUAAUCCUGAGCGAGGUAUCUGAAAUUCUCGGUAC